GCCAAGAUCGUGCCAUUGCACUCCAGUUUGGGCAACAAGAGUGAAACUCCGCCUCAAAAAAAAAAAAAAGAAAACAAAUUUGGCUAAGGAACUAAAAGUUCCAACUUGCCACAGCGUGGGGCUCAGCUGGAUCCAGGCCUUGUUUCCUCCACCCCUGGCUUGGUUUUCCUCUGUGGGCUCCAUUCUUGGGUGUCCAGUCCAGCCUGAGGAUGGCAGCAUGGCAGCCCUUGGCUCAGGUUUCAUUUUCUUUCUUUCUUUUUUUUUUUUUUUGAGAGGGAGUCUCACUCCAUUGCCGAGGCUGGAGUGCAGUGGCACAAUCUCAGCUCACUGCAGCCUCCACCUCCCGGGUUCAAGCAGUUCUCUCCUGUCUCAGCCUCCCGAGUAGCUGGGAUUAGAGGCAUCUGCCUCUACGCCCGGCUAAGUUUUGUAAUUUUAGUAGAGACGGAGUUUCACCAUGUUGGCCAGGCUGGUCUCUAACUCCUGACUUCAGGUGGAUCACAAGGUCAGGAGUUCGAGACCAGUGUGGCCUACAUGGUGAAACCCCCAUCUCUACUAAAAAUACAAAAAAAUUAGCCAGGUGUGGUGGUGGGCACCUGUAAUCCCAGCUACUCAGGAGACUGAGGCAGGAAAAUUGCUUGAACUCCAGAGGCGGAGGUUGCAGUGAGCCGAGAUCACACCACUGCAUUCGAGCCUGGACAACAGAGC
rnacentral:lncRNA from 1 species